rnacentral:rRNA from 1 species
GACGAACGCUGGCGGCGUGCUUAACACAUGCAAGUCGAACGGAAAGGCCCUGCUUUUGUGGGGUGCUCGAGUGGCGAACGGGUGAGUAACACGUGAGUAACCUGCCCUUGACUUUGGGAUAACUUCAGGAAACUGGGGCUAAUACCGGAUAGGAGCUCCUGCUGCAUGGUGGGGGUUGGAAAGUUUCGGCGGUUGGGGAUGGACUCGCGGCUUAUCAGCUUGUUGGUGGGGUAGUGGCUUACCAAGGCUUUGACGGAUAGCCGGCCUGAGAGGGUGACCGGCCACAAUGGGACUGAGGUACGGCGCAGACUCCUACGGUAGGCAGCAGUGGGGAGUAUGACGCAAUGAGCGGGAGCCUGAUGCGGCGACGCCGCGUGCGGAAUGACGGCCUUCGGGUUGUAAACCGCUUUCGACUGAGACGAAGCGUGAGUGACGGUAAUGGGUAAAGAAGCACCGGCUAACUACGUG